rnacentral:lncRNA from 1 species
UCCUCCUAUGUUCCUCUUCAAGAUCUGAGAGGAUUUGAGAUAUACGAAAAAAAUCAGAUCAACUAUCAGGAGAUGACUUCAGCAAAGGAGCUAGCACCCUGAUGAAGUCAUAAGCCUCUGAUCGGAUCAAGAACUCUAUAUAGAUAUGUGUAGAGACUGGAUGCAUAUACAGCUCUGUAGAAAUAUCAUCAGAUUACCAUAAUCAUCAGCAAUGGAGAUCAUCGACCUACACAAAGGUAUAG